UACAGAGGCCCCGAGCAUUAUCCGGAUUUACUGGGCGUAAAGGGUGUGUAGGUGGCAUAGUUAGUCUCUCGUUAAAACUCAGGGCUCAACCUUGAGAUUGUGAGGGAAACGGCUAUGCUCGAGGAUGCGAGAGGUAUAGGGAACUCAAGGUGUAGGGGUGAAAUCCGUUGAUAUCUUGGGGAACACCAAAUGCGAAGGCACUAUACUGGCGCACUCCUGACACUGAAACACGAAAGCGUGGGUAGCGAAUGGG
rnacentral:rRNA from 1 species